GAUCAGGCAUCAGUGUUGUGGUCUUGUGCAUGAGCGUGUGCAUGUACAAUCUUAGGGCAGACAAUGAAAGUCCUGUGAAGAGACGCUGAGACGACGUCUGAGGACGAGAGAACGCCUGGAGGACACGGAGACUUUUUUGCAAGAACCGAUUAUCAGGCGAGUACUGCACCUGGUACUACAGCUCUGUUGUGUCUGUGGACUCUAAUCUUCACUCCUGUUCAUUUGUUCCCGCUGCUGUUGACAAAGAGCAAGUGAUUGUGCAAGUCUGGACUCGAUGGAUCUUGCUCUGUUUUUGCUCCUCACUUCAGUGUUUUGUCCUGUCAUAUGGACGUCGCUGAGCAUUUUCAUUGGUAGGCACAGAGCGUGAGAGCACAGGAGACGUCAACGCUGCUCUGGGUUUUCCCGUCCAGCAGAUCUGGGUCAAAGCUGCUGAAGCUUUUGUUGGUUUGUACGAGGACGCAGCAGCAGUCUGACUGAAGGUAGGAGCCGGGAGCGCAGCAACAUGGACACAAUAUUAUUUACAGCUGAUAGACUUCAACCCAAUGAACUUUGCUCCCACUGAGACUGAGACAAUGUAAACCAUGAGCUUCUGCUGCAGAAACGAGUUCAACUGAUUAAAGUUGUCCAUCAAAACCUAAUGAGUCUGAAUGCAACUCUCAACGUCUAUCAACCCCAAACAGGCCGUCUAUAUUAGAAGUCAAGCUGGACCUGCACAGGUUUCCAGAUGUUUAAACCCACACGACUCUGAGGCUCCACCCACACUCAGCACUGGACUCUCCUUCCACCGACACCAUCAUCACGCUGAGGUGAAACAGCAGCAGACAGAAAACAGAAUCAUCGGAAUGACCGGGGGAAAAUGAGACUCAGCAGAUUAAUGAUGGCAACACUGAGGACUCCAAUGAAAACAAAGAACAUCCAGGAAUUAAUCUAUAGAAGUUCUCCAGGAAUUUGAUUUGCGUCAACAUUAAUGUCACAGUGACGCCUCUCUCUGAAACCGUCUCAAUCAUUCCCAACUGCCCACUCCUUCUCACCCCCCCUCUUCCUUUUAUGGUGUUGUUGACAAAAUGCCUUCAAGACAUGUUAUUACCAUUUCCUGCCCUGGAGACAAGAGAUAUUUGCUGAACAUCAACAUCUUUCCCCCUCACUGAAGAAAACCCUUAAAGGGGAGAAAACAAAGGAAAAGAAAAGACAGAGGAAAUUAAAGAGGGAACAAGAGGGUGGGGAGACAACAUCUAUGACUUUUUCCUUAGUGAGAAAAACAUAAUUAAAGGUAAAAUGAAAGAAAAUGAGGCAGGCAAAAAAUGAAAAUGGAAGAGGGAUAAGGGAUAAGAGAGGGAAGGGGACAAAAAGCAGUGGAAAUGAAGU